UUACACUAGCGGUACAAGUGGUGCAAGACCCAUGAUGAGGCCGUACUGUCCGCACCACCACACGUGACUAUAGACGACUGGCGGAUACUCUGCGAGAGAUUUUCGUUUGAGACUUUUCAGAAGAUGAGCAGAAUAAAUUCUACAAGUAGGAAAAAGUUACAAGUGAACCACGUAGCUGGUUCAAAGUCAUUUGUAUGACAUCGUUACGACAUGUGAGAUUCCUUCACCGACCAGGAGCCUGGACCAAUAGACCUCUACAAAGGGACUCACUGUCGGUAGGCGAGGGGAUCUUGGGUUCAUCCUAGAGCCAGCGAGAAUUAGGU